GAGGUGCUUCUUCCCAGUGACGGUUUUCCCAGUGUUGGUGCUCGUAGGAGAAGAACUGAAGUGGUGGGCUCUAAUAAACUGCUGCAUGUUC